rnacentral:tRNA from 1 species
AAUCAAAGAAAGAAGAUUUUAACUCCCACCCCUGACUCCCAAAGCCAGAAUUCUAAACUAAACUAUUCUUUGUU